rnacentral:lncRNA from 1 species
CGAAUCAGCGAUGGAAUAAAAAUUACUGCAAAAAUUGUUGGUACUUAUCCUCUUCGAUUACCAUCGAGAUUUAGAUUAGAUUUAAAGGACUGUUAUUUUAUUCUUGUAGCUAGUCGAAAUUUGAUUUCUAUGUCUGUGCUAGCACAGGAUGGUUUUGAAUUUAAUUUUAAUAAAAACUUUUAUUUUAUUUAUUUACAAAAUAAAUUGGUUGUACAUGGUCUUUUAAUUGACAGUCUAUAAUACUUGCAUAUUGAUGUGAAUAUGAAUUUGAACGAGC